AAGUCAGCAUCUUGCACAGAGCCAGGCUCAGCUUCCUUCCUCUGCCUUGGCCUGAAGGCCCCAGAGCCAGGAGUAGGUAGCAGCUUCCCAAGGAUCUCCUGGCAGGAGGUGGGCAGCACAGCAGGGAAAGGAUGAGGGAGGGUCUGGAGACAGCAUCGCACACAGAGGGCAGAACGCAGAGUAUGAAUUUCUUCUGACACCUUCAGAUUUCUGUUCCAUGGUCAUAUCCUUUUUCUUUUUUUGUGUGUGCCUAUGCCCUAUGUCCUGGCUUUAUUAUUUAGGAAGAAUGGUCAACAUAAAUACAUUUGGCACAGAGAGUGGCCAGGGACCCCAGAGAGGAGAGCCAGAAGUCCUGGGAUGUUCCGGAAGCCCACUGUUGGAGUCUCAGAGAGAAAUGUGGGAUUCCAGAUGUUCACAAGCUUAUAAGGCAUUUGGGGAAACCACUGGAAGCUUGGCAGAUACAGUUUCAGGAAAGGAAAGAUCUGAAGACAGGGAAGAAAUGAAGUGGCUUCUUGAAGGACUUGUGCAAAGAAGGUGGAGAAUCCAGCUUUUUGAAA